rnacentral:rRNA from 1 species
AACGAACGCUGGCGGUAGGCUUAACACAUGCAAGUCGAGCGCCCCGCCAGUGGGGCGUCGGUCUGGUGCGUAACGCGUGGCGACGUACCUUUUGGUUCGUCACAACCCCCUUUUACUGGAGCUAUUACCUGAUAAGCCUUACCCGUGUACGAUUUAUCGCCUACAGAUCGGACGACGUCGUCUUCGCUAGUUGGUGGGGUAACGGCUCCCCAAUCCGACGAUCUGGAGCUGGUCUGAGAGGACGACCAGCCACACGGGAACUGAGACACGGGCCAGACUCCUACGGGAGGCAGCAGUGGGGAAUAUUGGACAAUGGGCGCAAGCGUGAGCCAGCCAUACCGCGUGGGUGAAGAAGGCCUUCGGGUUGUAAAGCACUUUUGUUGGGAAAGAAAAGCAGCAGGUUAAUACCCCGGUGUUCGGACGGUACCCAAAGAAUAAGCACCGGCUAACUUAGUG